rnacentral:rRNA from 1 species
GAUUAAGUUAUUAAGGGCGCACGGUGGAUGCCUUGGCACUAGAAGCCGAUGAAGGACGUUACUAACGACGAUAUGCUUUGGGGAGCUGUAAGUAAGCUUUGAUCCAGAGAUUUCCGAAUGGGGAAACCCAGCAUGAGUUAUGUCAUGUUAUCGAUAUGUGAAUACAUAGCAUAUCAGAAGGCACACCCGGAGAACUGAAACAUCUUAGUACCCGGAGGAAGAGAAAGAAAAUUCGAUUCCCUUAGUAGCGGCGAGCGAAACGGGAAGAGCCCAAACCAACAAGCUUGCUUGUUGGGGUUGUAGGACACUCUAUACGGAGUUACAAAGGACGACAUUAGACGAAUCAUCUGGAAAGAUGAAUCAAAGAAGGUAAUAAUCCUGUAGUCGAAAAUGUUGUCUCUCUUGAGUGGAUCCUGAGUACGACGGAGCACGUGAAAUUCCGUCGGAAUCUGGGAGGACCAUCUCCUAAGGCUAAAUACUCUCUAGUGACCGAUAGUGAACCAGUACCGUGAGGGAAAGGUGAAAAGCACCCCGGAAGGGGAGUGAAAUAGAACCUGAAACCGUGUGCUUACAAGUAGUCAGAGCCCGUUAAUGGGUGAUGGCGUGCCUUUUGUAGAAUGAACCGGCGAGUUACGAUUUGAUGCAAGGUUAAGCAGUAAAUGUGGAGCCGUAGCGAAAGCGAGUCUGAAUAGGGCGUUUAGUAUUUGGUCGUAGACCCGAAACCAGGUGAUCUACCCUUGGUCAGGUUGAAGUUCAGGUAACACUGAAUGGAGGACCGAACCGACUUACGUUGAAAAGUGAGCGGAUGAACUGAGGGUAGCGGAGAAAUUCCAAUCGAACCUGGAGAUAGCUGGUUCUCUCCGAAAUAGCUUUAGGGCUAGCCUCAAGUGAUGAUUAUUGGAGGUAGAGCACUGUUUGGACGAGGGGCCCCUCUCGGGUUACCGAAUUCAGACAAACUCCGAAUGCCAAUUAAUUUAACUUGGGAGUCAGAACAUGGGUGAUAAGGUCCGUGUUCGAAAGGGAAACAGCCCAGACCACCAGCUAAGGUCCCAAAAUAUAUGUUAAGUGGAAAAGGAUGUGGCGUUGCCCAGACAACUAGGAUGUUGGCUUAGAAGCAGCCAUCAUUUAAAGAGUGCGUAAUAGCUCACUAGUCGAGUGACACUGCGCCGAAAAUGUACCGGGGCUAAACAUAUUACCGAAGCUGUGGAUUGUCCUUUGGACAAUGGUAGGAGAGCGUUCUAAGGGCGUUGAAGCAUGAUCGUAAGGACAUGUGGAGCGCUUAGAAGUGAGAAUGCCGGUGUGAGUAGCGAAAGACGGGUGAGAAUCCCGUCCACCGAUUGACUAAGGUUUCCAGAGGAAGGCUCGUCCGCUCUGGGUUAGUCGGGUCCUAAGCUGAGGCCGACAGGCGUAGGCGAUGGAUAACAGGUUGAUAUUCCUGUACCACCUAUAAUCGUUUUAAUCGAUGGGGGGACGCAGUAGGAUAGGCGAAGCGUGCGAUUGGAUUGCACGUCUAAGCAGUAAGGCUGAGUAUUAGGCAAAUCCGGUACUCGUUAAGGCUGAGCUGUGAUGGGGAGAAGACAUUGUGUCUUCGAGUCGUUGAUUUCACACUGCCGAGAAAAGCCUCUAGAUAGAAAAUAGGUGCCCGUACCGCAAACCGACACAGGUAGUCAAGAUGAGAAUUCUAAGGUGAGCGAGCGACUCUCGUUAAGGAACUCGGCAAAAUGACCCCGUAACUUCGGGAGAAGGGGUGCUCUUUAGGGUUAACGCCCAGAAGAGCCGCAGUGAAUAGGCCCAAGCGACUGUUUAUCAAAAACACAGGUCUCUGCUAAACCGUAAGGUGAUGUAUAGGGGCUGACGCCUGCCCGGUGGCUGGAAGGUUAAGAGGAGUGGUUAGCUUCUGCGAAGCUACGAAUCGAAGCCCCAGUAAACGGCGGCCGUAACUAUAACGGUCCUAAGGUAGCGAAAUUCCUUGUCGGGUAAGUUCCGACCCGCACGAAAGGCGUAACGAUUUGGGCACUGUCUCAACGAGAGACUCGGUGAAAUCAUAGUACCUGUGAAGAUGCAGGUUACCCGCGACAGGACGGAAAGACCCCGUGGAGCUUUACUGUAGCCUGAUAUUGAAAUUCGGCACAGCUUGUACAGGAUAGGUAGGAGCCUUUGAAACGUGAGCGCUAGCUUACGUGGAGGCGCUGGUGGGAUACUACCCUAGCUGUGUUGGCUUUCUAACCCGCACCACUUAUCGUGGUGGGAGACAGUGUCAGGCGGGCAGGUUUGGACUGGGGCGGUUCGCCUCCUAAAAGGUAACGGAGGCGCUCAAAGGUUCCCUCAGAAUGGUUGGAAAUCAUUCAUAGAGUGUAAAGGCAUAAGGGAGCUUGACUGCGAGACCUACAAGUCGAGCAGGGUCGAAAGACGGACUUAGUGAUCCGGUGGUUCCGCAUGGAAGGGCCAUCGCUCAACGGAUAAAAGCUACCCCGGGGAUAACAGGCUUAUCUCCCCCAAGAGUUCACAUCGACGGGGAGGUUUGGCACCUCGAUGUCGGCUCAUCGCAUCCUGGGGCUGUAGUCGGUCCCAAGGGUUGGGCUGUUCGCCCAUUAAAGCGGUACGCGAGCUGGGUUCAGAACGUCGUGAGACAGUUCGGUCCCUAUCCGUCGUGGGCGUAGGAAAUUUGAGAGGAGCUGUCCUUAGUACGAGAGGACCGGGAUGGACAUACCUCUGGUGUACCAGUUGUCGUGCCAACGGCAUAGCUGGGUAGCUAUGUGUGGACGGGAUAAGUGCUGAAAGCAUCUAAGCAUGAAGCCCCCCUCAAGAUGAGAUUUCCCAACUUCGGUUAUAAGAUCCCUCAAAGAUGAUGAGGUUAAUAGGUUCGAGGUGGAAGCAUGGUGACAUGUGGAGCUGACGAAUACUAAUCGAUCGAAGACUUAAUCAA